rnacentral:rRNA from 1 species
GAUGAACGCUGGCGGCGUGCCUAAUACAUGCAAGUCGAGCGAACAGAUGAGGAGCUUGCUCCUCUGACGUUAGCGGCGGACGGGUGAGUAACACGUGGAUAACCUACCUAUAAGACUGGGAUAACUUCGGGAAACCGGAGCUAAUACCGGAUAAUAUAUUGAACCGCAUGGUUCAAUAGUGAAAGACGGUUUUGCUGUCACUUAUAGAUGGAUCCGCGCCGCAUUAGCUAGUUGGUAAGGUAACGGCUUACCAAGGCAACGAUGCGUAGCCGACCUGAGAGGGUGAUCGGCCACACUGGAACUGAGACACGGUCCAGACUCCUACGGGAGGCAGCAGUAGGGAAUCUUCCGCAAUGGGCGAAAGCCUGACGGAGCAACGCCGCGUGAGUGAUGAAGGUCUUCGGAUCGUAAAACUCUGUUAUUAGGGAAGAACAAAUGUGUAAGUAACUAUGCCCGUCUUGACGGUACCUAAUCAGAAAGCCACGGCUAACUACGUG